rnacentral:lncRNA from 1 species
CUUAAAAACUACAUAAAAAGAUGGAAGCAGGAAUACAUAAAUUCGCUUAGGGAACAUUACCGAUACACAGAUCGAAACACAUAGAACAUUAAAGUCGGAGAUGUAGUUCAGAUUCAGGACUAUGUAUCAAGAGUAAAUUGGACUUUGGCGAUCAUUGACAAAUUAUUUUACGGCAAAGAUGGACUUACACGAUCAGCCAUAAUCGAACAAAAACUGGUUUGAUAUCUAGACCAAUUAUCAAACUUUAUCCGUUAGAACUGAAUUCUUUGGAACUUGAAAAUAGAGCAGCUCAGAGUGAGGCAAAGACGAAAAUAAAAACUUGGACUAACAUGUGUUAAAUGUAAAUUGUGAAAAGUAAAAUGAUAAUGUGUGAUUAGCAUAUGGACAUUAAAAUGAAUAUAAAAAGUGGGCUGCUAAAUAUUUUACAUAUAAACUUUCAAGUUUUAAUUUAUUUUAUUAGAACUUUAAUAAUUAAAGUUGUGAUCACUUUCAUUUAUUGUAAAGUAAUUCAUGUGCGGCCCAAGCAUGUUGGGAGCAAAAUCACAAACGUAACGUUCUCGCUGCCGCUAUUCAUUGUAACGUCACCUAAGUGUGACAUGUUGAC